rnacentral:misc_RNA from 1 species
AUACUGCUCAGGUGAAAGG